AGUUGAAGGGGUUGGAUCUUCAAGACCAUCAAAUUUCUUUUGUCUCACUUGUUACCUCUGCUCUUUCUCUAGUUUGCUUACCAUUGUAACCAACGGCAGAGGGACCGGCUCUUUGCUGAAGCAUUCUUCGACAAUCUGAUUGGAAGGGAUUCUCAAGGAGCAUCCAUGAAGACGAAUCAACACUCCGAACACUAUCAAUUGAUUUACAAGGAGACCCUGUUGAUAUAGAAAAGGCAAUGAACACAAAAUUUGGUCGGAGAUCGAGUAACCAUACCUAUAGGCUGCACAAACAAUUCAUGGAGCUGAAGGAAGCUAAAGAGGAGGA